CCAAAAUCAAAAACAGCCGCUACAGCACAUGGACUUCGCCAUUUUGCAUUGGACUGGAUCGUCAUCUCACUAGUCUACGAUCGCCAAAUUGUGGAUACAGCAUCAUUUCAUAGUCUAUAUGGUGGGACAACCUGCUAGACAGGUUUACGAAUGAAGACAUCUGUAUCUACCUCAAUGAAGGCAUGGAGAGAAACAUUAAAGAAUAUGUGGUUAGUAAUUGUGAAAUUGGUGAGUUGGGGAUUGCACAGACAGUGGAAGUUCUGCAAAACCUACUUGCUGUCACACAUGGGUGUGAAAUUGUUUUUUGGACUCAUUUAUGCACUUAAACUGAACUACCUGAAGAACCUCAAGUUCACCUUUGGCGCGUUUCAAAAAAUCCUAAUGGAACUGGACUGGAUACAACCAAGCAAUCACUGAAAGAUGCUUCAGUGAAUAACUGACAGACACGCUGAUACAUCCCCCUCAAAGUGGGUACAUUUUUGUACAUUUAUAAGUGAAUUUUUUAACAUUUAAAGGAAUAUGACACUUUCAUUGUCACAAAAAUCCUGAUAAUUUACUGUCUGUCAUCCAAGAUGUUUGUCUUUUUUGUUCAGUCGAGAAGAAAUUACGUUUUUUUUUUUUUUGAGAAAAACAUUCCAGGACUUUUCUUAAUUUAAUAGACCUUAUUGGACAACAACAGUUUAGUUUCAAUGCAGUUUAAAAUUGCAGUUUCCAAGCAGCUUUAAAGGGCUCUAUAUGAUCCCAACCGAGGCAUAAGGGUUUUACCUAUCCAAAAGAAUAUCAUUUUCGGCAAGAAAACUUUUAAAACACAACUUCUUGUCUUGCAUUAUCCAUGUGACACACCAGUGCGACAUUGCGUACUACGUAAUAACCUCGAAUGGUUACACAUCACAAAUGUGAAAUGCACAUUUGUGGACCAUUUUAAAUAAUAAACAUACCCAAAGACAUUAAUUAGUAUCAUUCCACAUUAGGGUUGCCGCGGUGACGUAAUUUUCCCACCGGUUAAUCAGCGCGUCACAAACCCGGUGAUACCGGUGUCACCGUGUGGGAGGGGCUUAUAAAUGCGCAUACAGACGUGCACAUUUUACUUUCACUUUUGAAUUACGCAACUGUUUAAAUGCAGUGCUUGUGUACGCUGCGUUAAAUUGCGUAUGAAUUUGCAUGCAAUGUGAGUGCAACAGCUGGUUUACUUAAGUACUUGAGUCAAUGUGCGCAUGUAAUUCUCAAAGAACCUGCCAGUCCCAAGCAGAGCAACCGGCUACUUCUCCAUAAAGCGCUGCUUGAAUGAUGGGUUUAUUAUUUUUCUUGAUGAUAAACACAACAACAAAACGAUCUCGCUUAUAUUAAACAUCAUAUAUGUAUAUUAUAACAAAAACAAGUAAGCACGCGACUUCUGCCUUCGUCUGGUCAGUCAGCUCGCUUCGCAAACUCUGACAGGAAUAAAUGAAAUCUGACACCUGCUGCUCUGUGACUUGAGGCGCGUUCAGCUCCGCUGAAUUCAGGCACCAGACACAUUCAGUUUGCUCUCUCUAACGAAAAUAAAUGAUUAAAUUACACGAAAAUAUCAAAACGACGGUGAAAGACGGUGUCGCGGUGGGCAAGUGAUCUAACCAGUGAGAGGCUGAAGCACCGGUUAUCACCGUUUCACCGACUAUCGCGGCAAGCCUAUUCCACAUACAACACCAUCUGAACGCUCCUCUUUCUCCUCACUUGUAAAAACUGGAGCGGUAGUUUCAAUUAUCUCAUGCUAGCGUGUCACACAGCUAGUACAAAACACUGUGAUUUAAAAGUCCUCUUAUUUUUAUUUUUGAAAAUGACAAUCGUUUAGCUAGAUAAGACCCUUAUGCCUUAUUUGGGAUAAUUUAGAGCCCUUUUAAAUCUGCAUUGAAACUGUAAACUUGAGGUCGAAUAAAGUCUUAAAUUGAGAAAAAUCCUGGAAUGUUUAACUCAAACUUUAUUUCUUCUUGACUGAACAAAGUAAAACAUAAACAUAUGGGGUGAGAAAAUUAUCGGGAUUUUUGUUUUAUUAAAUUGGAAUAUUCCUUUAACAAUUUUAAAAGUUGAAAAGUUGAUGUAUAUCUAACAUGUAAUUAAAGAUGCAUGAAAAUUGUUAAUGGCACACAGCCACUCAAAACACUAAGCCAUGUGCCAUUUUUUUCAUUCUAAAUUAUUAUUACAUCAUGUCACAGAUUUCUGAAAAUGUUAAAGUAAUGUUGUUGUCCCUGAUUUAUUUUCUGCAGCCUGUUAAAAUGUUUGCUCUUAUUUGUGGAAUGAGGUCGAUUGUGGCUGAAAUGUCUGAAACACACUUAUUAAUUUAUUUUUGCACACAAUACGAGGUGUAUAAGCCAUAGUAUCAUACUAGUUGCUAGCUGCUCUUUUUUGCUGCCUUAUGAGUAAUGCCUUGAAGUAUUAAAUAAAUUGAUAAAAUGUAAAA